rnacentral:lncRNA from 1 species
CUGAUUGUUUAAUGGUGGUAUAUAUGUACACUUAACUAGUGGAGAGUACCCAAUAGUCUUUGAGGACAAGACUUAUUGUAGCACGCUGCAUUUAUGUGUGGGUGUCAGAUUUGGCAUCCGUAUUGAUGCUUGGCUGCCAUUGCUCCAUCCAUCAAACGCCGCAUGGUCUCGCUGGUACAGUACUGAUCAUGCAUUUGACUUGAGAAGAACCCCAUCCACACCUUGUUGUGCAUUGUUCCAUUGAGGAACUGAUGGUUUGUG